ACCAGGCCCGCAGCCUGCGGGCAGGGGCGUGGGACCAAGGCCGGUGCGGUUGGAACAGACCUGUAAGAUCGGCCAGUGCAAUCGUCCAGGCAGCACUGCUGCCACUGUAACACCUAAACCACGCCACCAGAUCAGACGCCUCUUAAAACACCUCCAGGCAAUAGUGACUCCAACUUCCCUGGGCAGCUUAUUCCUGCGCCCGACCAUCCUAAAAAAAAGAUUUUUUCCUGAUCUGGAAAUCUCUCCUGGUACCGCUUAAAGGCACUUCUUUAGUUCUCUCGCUGCAGACACGGCAGAAGAGACCAGUCCCUCACCUCACUACACCCUUCUUACACGUAGUUGUGAGAGCCAUGAGGGCCCCCCUACGCCUCCUCUUCCUGAGACCCUUCCGGAGCCUUGUUCACUUUCUCUGGCUGCUCCUUUUUAGAGUGAAGGUUCCAAAAUGGAACACAGUUCUUGAGUGUUCUGCCCAUCGAGUGGAGGGCACAAGUCUCCAAACCCCCACAGGAGUUCCCUGCAGAGAAAUGGGAUCGAGCAGAGCUGAACAUCACAGAUGGUGUAGCUGUGGUCAGAGAUCAGCAGCAACAUCAAGAUCGUUUAGCUCACUGGGGCUGUAUGUGCAUUUUCAUGAUCUGGAAAUCAUUUAGACUAUUUAAUGCAAUUUCUACUGAAUCAGAUGACAUAAGCAUCAACAUCUGAAGAGCAGUGUUAGGAAAAAACCCUAAAGAAUACAAGUAACUUUAUGUGUUAACAUUAAAGAAAUUAUGCACACUCUUA